AACGGACGCUGGCGGCAUGCCUAACACAUGCAAGUCGAACGAGACCUUCGGGUCUAGUGGCGCACGGGUGCGUAACGCGUGGGAACCUUCCCUUAGGUUCGGAAUAACUCCCCGAAAGGGGUGCUAAUACCGGAUAAUGUCUUCGGACCAAAGAUUUAUCGCCUUUGGAUGGGCCCGCGUUGGAUUAGCUAGUUGGUAGGGUAAAAGCCUACCAAGGCGACGAUCCAUAGCUGGUCUGAGAGGAUGAUCAGCCACACUGGGACUGAGACACGGCCCAGACUCCUACGGGAGGCAGCAGUGGGGAAUAUUGGACAAUGGGCGAAAGCCUGAUCCAGCAAUGCCGCGUGAGUGAUGAAGGCCUUAGGGUUGUAAAGCUCUUUUACCCGGGAUGAUAAUGACAGUACCGGGAGAAUAAGCUCCGGCUAACUCCGUG
rnacentral:rRNA from 1 species